rnacentral:rRNA from 1 species
GACAGCAGUAGCCGCGGUAAUGCGAAGGGGGCUAGCGUUGUUCGGAUUUACUGGGCGUAAAGCGCACGUAGGCGGCUUUGUAAGUUAGAGGUGAAAGCCCGGAGCUCAACUCCGGAAUUGCCUUUAAGACUGCAGAGCUAGCAGGUGAGAGAGGUGAGUGGAAUUCCGAGUGUAGAGGUGAAAUUCGUAGAUAUUCGGAAGAACACCAGUGGCGAAGGCGGCUCACUGGCUCAUACUGGACGCUGAGGUGCGAAAGCGUGGGGAGCAAACAGGAUUAGAGACCCCUGUAGUCCCUGUCUCUUAUAC